UACGGGGGGUGCGAGCGUUGUCCGGAAUCACUGGGCGUAAAGGGCGCGUAGGUGGCCUGGUAAGUCUGUGGUGAAAGCCCGGAGCUCAACUCCGGGUCUGCCGCGGAUACUGCGAGGCUUGAGUGCUGUAGAGGCGGGUAGAAUGCCGGGUGUAGCGGUGGAAUGCGUAGAGAUCCGGAAGAACACCAGUGGCGAAGGCGGCCCGCUGGGCAGUGGCUGACGCUGAGGCGCGACAGCGUGGGGAGCAAACAGG
rnacentral:rRNA from 1 species